UUGAAAGGGAAACGAUUGAAGUCAGUCGUACCUAUGGGUAAUCAGCCUUUUGGGUGUGAUUUUGUGGAGCGUGAGGAGUUAAACGCCUUCAUGCCUGCAUAUUCGUGCACUUUGGGUGUACUUGCCCGUAUGGUUGGUUAACAUCAAUUUUGGUGGUCAUAAAAUGACUGGAGGAAUGUAGCUUCGAUCUUGUAUUGAAGUGUUAUAGCCUUCGGUAGAUGUGAUGAUCGAGAUUGAGGAUUGCAACGGAUACCCUUCGGGGCUACCUGUCUGAUCUCUGAUCGUUGCUCUGGUGCCGAAAGCUUGCUUACGGUUAUCAAAGUCGAUGGUCAAUAGGUUAGAAUGGGUUAAAUUCGUUAAGGAUGUUGACGUA
rnacentral:rRNA from 1 species